rnacentral:rRNA from 1 species
UAUGUAACUCUACCUGUAACUGGGGAAUAGCCUUCCGAAAGGAAGAUUAAUACCGCAUAACUAUCAUGAAGUGGCAUCAUUUUAUGAUCAAAACUCCGGUGGUUACAGAUGAGCAUGCGUGACAUUAGCUAGUUGGUGAGGUAACGGCUCACCAAGGCUACGAUGUCUAGGGGGUCUGAGAGGAUGAUCCCCCACACUGGUACUGAGACACGGACCAGACUCCUACGGGAGGCAGCAGUAAGGAAUAUUGGACAAUGGCCGCAAGGCUGAUCCAGCCAUGCCGCGUGCAGGAUGACGGUGCUCUGCAUUGUAAACUGCUUUUGUUCGGGAAUAAACCCUUUCACGUGUGAGAGGUUGAAUGUACCGAAAGAAUAAGGGACGGCUAACUUCGUGCCAGCAGCCGCGGUAAUACGAAGGUCCCAAGCGUUAUCCGGAUUUAUUGGGUUUAAAGGGUGCGUAGGCGGGCUA